GUCGAGCGAACAGACGAGGAGCUUGCUCCUCUGACGUUAGCGGCGGACGGGUGAGUAACACGUGGAUAACCUACCUAUAAGACUGGGAUAACUUCGGGAAACCGGAGCUAAUACCGGAUAAUAUAUUGAACCGCAUGGUUCAAUAGUGAAAGACGGUUUUGCUGUCACUUAUAGAUGGAUCCGCGCCGCAUUAGCUAGUUGGUAAGGUAACGGCUUACCAAGGCAACGAUGCGUAGCCGACCUGAGAGGGUGAUCGGCCACACUGGAACUGAGACACGGUCCAGACUCCUACGGGAGGCAGCAGUAGGGAAUCUUCCGCAAUGGGCGAAAGCCUGACGGAGCAACGCCGCGUGAGUGAUGAAGGUCUUCGGAUCGUAAAACUCUGUUAUUAGGGAAGAACAAAUGUGUAAGUAACUAUGCACGUCUUGACGGUACCUAAUCAGAAAGCCACGGCUAACUACGUGCCAGCAGCCGCGGUAAUACGUAGGUGGCAAGCGUUAUCCGGAAUUAUUGGGCGUAAAGCGCGCGUAGGCGGUUUUUUAAGUCUGAUGUGAAAGCCCACGGCUCAACCGUGGAGGGUCAUUGGAAACUGGAAAACUUGAGUGCAGAAGAGGAAAGUGGAAUUCCAUGUGUAGCGGUGAAAUGCGCAGAGAUAUGGAGGAACACCAGUGGCGAAGGCGACUUUCUGGUCUGUAACUGACGCUGAUGUGCGAAAGCGUGGGGAUCAAACAGGAUUAGAUACCCUGGUAGUCCACGCCGUAAACGAUGAGUGCUAAGUGUUAGGGGGUUUCCGCCCCUUAGUGCUGCAGCUAACGCAUUAAGCACUCCGCCUGGGGAGUACGACCG
rnacentral:rRNA from 1 species